CAAGUUGGGGUGAUCCUUAAACUUGUUUUCGAGAAAGCUUAUGACAAAGUUAAUUGGGAGUUUUUGCUCGAUUUCCAUGUGAAACGUAGGUUUAGUCCCAGGUGGUGUGGGUGGGUUUCUAAAAUUCUUAAAAAUGGCACGGUAAGUGUCAAGAUCAAUGAUGAGGUUGGUCCUUACAUACAAAGUGCUAAAGGGGUGAGGCAGGCAGAUCCUCACUCCCCUUUCCUACUUAAUCUUGCAGCCGAAUGCCUGACUAAGAUGGUGCUUACGGCUCAAAAAAAUGGUCUUGUUAAAGGGUUGGCUGCUGAUCUUAUUGAGGAUGGGGUUGGCAUCCUUCAAUACGCUGACGAUAUUGUGCUUUGUUUUCAACAUGAUAUUGACAAAGCCAUCAAUGUCAAACUCUUGCUUUAUCUUUUUGAACUCAUGUCAGGAUUCAAAAUCAAUUUUGAGAAGAGCGAGUUUUUGUUAUUGGAGGAGAUAAUGAUAUUGAUUUAG
rnacentral:rRNA from 1 species